rnacentral:rRNA from 1 species
GAUGGCGACCGGCGCACGGGUGAGUAACGCGUAUCCGACCUGGCCCAGACACGUGGACAGCCUUGCGAAAGUAAGGAUAAUCCGCGAUAUGUUCUUUCCGUUGCAUAAGGGAAAGAAGAAAGGUUCCGACCGGUCUGGGAUGGGGAUGCGUUCCAUUAGAUAGUCGGCGGGGUAACGGCCCACCGAGUCGACGAUGGAUAGGGGUUCUGAGAGGAAGGUCCCCCACAUUGGAACUGAGACACGGUCCAAACUCCUACGGGAGGCAGCRGUGAGGAAUAUUGGUCAAUGGGCGAGAGCCUGAACCAGCCAAGUAGCGUGAAGGAUGACGGCCCUAUGGGUUGUAAACUUCUUUUGCGGGAGGGUAAAGUGAUCCACGUGUGGAUCAUUGCAAGUAUCCCGCGAAUAAGGAUCGGCUAACUCCGUGCCAGCAGCCGCGGUAAUACGGAGGAUCCGAGCGUUAUCCGGAUUUAWUGGGUUUAAAGGGAGCGUAGGCGGGAGUUUAAGUCWGCUGUGAAAUGCCGUGGCCCAACCAUGGAUGUGCAGUUGAAACWGGGCWUCUUGAGUGUACAUAAGGAAGGCGGAAUUCGUGGUGUAGCGGUGAAAUGCAUAGAUAUCACGAAGAACUCCGAUU